rnacentral:rRNA from 1 species
UACAGAGGCCCCAAGCGUUACUGAGAAUCACUGGGUUUAAAGGGUGCGUAGGUGGCGCGUUAAGUCCGUUGUGAAAGCCCUGGGCUCAACCCAGGAACUGCUUCGGAUACUGGCGCGCUUGAGGCUAGUAGGGGUCACUGGAACUGACGGUGGAGCGGUGAAAUGCGUAGAUAUCGUCAGGAACGCCAACGGUGAAAACAGCUGGCUGGGGGUGUGCUGACGCUGAGACACGAAAGCCAGGGGAGCGAACGGG